rnacentral:rRNA from 1 species
CAACCGAGAUUCCCCCAGUAGCGGCGAGCGAACGGGGAGCAGCCCAGAGUCUGAAUCAGUGUGUGUGUUAGUGGAAGCGUCUGGAAAGGCGUGCGAUACAGGGUGACAGCCCCGUACACAAAAAUGCACAUAUUGUGAGCUCGAUGAGUAGGGCGGGACACGUGGUAUCCUGUCUGAAUAUGGGGGGACCAUCCUCCAAGGCUAAAUACUCCUGACUGACCGAUAGUGAACCAGUACCGUGAGGGAAAGGCGAAAAGAACCCCGGCGAGGGGAGUGAAAAAGAACCUGAAACCGUGUACGUACAAGCAGUGGGAGCACGCUUAGGCGUGUGACUGCGUACCUUUUGUAUAAUGGGUCAGCGACUUAUAUUCUGUAGCAAGGUUAACCGAAUAGGGGAGCCGAAGGGAAACCGAGUCUUAACUGGGCGUUAAGUUGCAGGGUAUAGACCCGAAACCCGGUGAUCUAGCCAUGGGCAGGUUGAAGGUUGGGUAACACUAACUGGAGGACCGAACCGACUAAUGUUGAAAAAUUAGCGGAUGACUUGUGGCUGGGGGUGAAAGGCCAAUCAAACCGGGAGAUAGCUGGUUCUCCCCGAAAGCUAUUUAGGUAGCGCCUCGUGAAUUCAUCUCCGGGGGUAGAGCACUGUUUCGGCAAGGGGGUCAUCCCGACUUACCAACCCGAUGCAAACUGCGAAUACCGGAGAAUGUUAUCACGGGAGACACACGGCGGGUGCUAACGUCCGUCGUGAAGAGGGAAACAACCCAGACCGCCAGCUAAGGUCCCAAAGUCAUGGUUAAGUGGGAAACGAUGUGGGAAGGCCCAGACAGCCAGGAUGUUGGCUUAGAAGCAGCCAUCAUUUAAAGAAAGCGUAAUAGCUCACUGGUCGAGUCGGCCUGCGCGGAAGAUGUAACGGGGCUAAACCAUGCACCGAAGCUGCGGCAGCGACGCUGAUGCGUUGUUGGGUAGGGGAGCGUUCUGUAAGCCUGUGAAGGUGUACUGUGAGGUAUGCUGGAGGUAUCAGAAGUGCGAAUGCUGACAUAAGUAACGAUAAAGCGGGUGAAAAGCCCGCUCGCCGGAAGACCAAGGGUUCCUGUCCAACGUUAAUCGGGGCAGGGUGAGUCGACCCCUAAGGCGAGGCCGAAAGGCGUAGUCGAUGGGAAACAGGUUAAUAUUCCUGUACUUGGUGUUACUGCGAAGGGGGGACGGAGAAGGCUAUGUUGGCC